CAGUAGCCGCGGGAAUACGGAGGGGGCUAGCGUUGUUCGGAAUUACUGGGCGUAAAGCGUACGUAGGCGGAUAUUUAAGUCAGGGGUGAAAUCCCAGAGCUCAACUCAAGAAUUGCCUUUGAUACUGGGUAUCUUGAGUAUGGGAGAGGAUAGUAGAAUUGCGGGUGUAGAGGUGAAAUGCGUAGAUAUUCGGAGGAAUACCGGUGGCGAAGGCGGCUCACUGGUCUAUUACUGACGCUGAGGUGCGAAAGCGUGGGGAGCAAACAGGAUUAGAUACCCCAGUAGUCCCUGUCUCUUAUAC
rnacentral:rRNA from 1 species